GGAGGUUCCAUUUUUUCGAGCUUCUAUUUCGCGCCAUUUUUCAUUCCCGACCGCGUUGAUUGACGAGUGGAUAUUUGUUUAUCACAAUUUUCCGAUUUUGGCUGCCGAGGACAACAUUUAUGAUGGUGGAGUCUGCUCUUGAAACUGCCCCACCCCUCUCUCUCUCAAAACACAAAAGGACUCACCCUGGCGGGGAAAGAGGACGUUGGUUUUUCCAGGAGAUCCCACAACAAUUUCUGGUAAUGGGCGCAAAAUCCUUCGCCGAAUUCCUCCUCGUCUCUCUGCUUGAGACUCUC